GCUUAAGUGAUCCUCCCACCUCGGCCUCUGGAGUAGCUGGGACUACAGGUGCACACCACCAUACCCAUCCCCAUGUUGCCCAGGCUGGUAUCAAACUCCUGGACUUAAGCGAUCCGCCCACCUUGGCCUCCCAAAGUGCUGGGAUUACAGGUAAAUUUGGAAGGCAAAGCCAGCCCUCUGUCACUUCUACAAAUGGCCUCCCCAAGUGGCCUGUGUGUCUUGGUUCGCCUGCCCAAGCUAAUCUGUGGAGGAAAAACACUACCAAGAACGUUAUUGGAUAUUUUGGCAGAUGGCACCAUUUUGAAAGUUGGAGUGGGAUGCUCAGAAGAUGCCAGCAAGCUUCUGCAGGAUUAUGGCCUCGUUGUUAGGGGGUGCCUGGACCUCCGAUACCUAGCCAUGCGGCAGAGAAACAAUUUGCUCUGUAAUGGGCUUAGCCUGAAGUCCCUCGCUGAGACUGUUUUGAACUUUCCCCUUGACAAGUCCCUUCUACUUCGUUGCAGCAACUGGGAUGCUGAGACUCU
rnacentral:lncRNA from 10 species